rnacentral:ncRNA from 1 species
AAUAAAUUUUUUAUGGUUUAAAAAAUUUAUUUUAAGUUUAUUUUACAUAUAAAUUUUAGUGUUAACUAUUAAUUAUUUAAAUAAUAUUUAAUUUUUAUGGUAGUAAUUAAUUUUAAAAAUUUAAGAAAUUAAGAUUUAGUAAUAUAAAAAUUAAUAACUAAUUUUGUGCCAGCAGUUGCGGUUAUACAAAAGUUAAUUUAAAUUUUUUUAGUAAUUAAUAAUUAAAUAAAUAUAAAAUAAUUUAAAUUUUAAAAUUAUUAGGUGAAAUUUUAAUUUAAUAAAAAAUUAUUUUAAAAUUAUGAUUUAAUAAAUUUAAUAAAAAACUAGGAUUAGAUACCCUAUUAUUAAAAUUUAAAUUAAUAAUACUUAAAUAGUAAAUAUUUUUUAUUGAAACUUAAAUAAUUUGGCGGUAUUUUAGUUUAUUUAGAGGAAUCUGUUUAAUAAUUGAUAAUCCACGAAUAAAUUUACUUAAUUUAAUAUUUUGUAUAUCGUUGUUAAAAAAAUAUUUUUUAAUAAAAAUAAUAUUUUAAAUUUUAAAUUUAAAAUUAAAUCAGAUCAAGAUGCAGAUAAUGAUUAAGAAUAUAAUGGAUUACAAUAAAUUUAUUUAAUUGAAUUUUAAUAUGUAAUAAUUAAAUGAAAUUGGAUUUAAAUGUAAUUUUAUUUAAUUUAUUAAAAUGAUUAAAUAUUAAAAUAUGUACAUAUUGCCCGUCGCUUUCAUUAAUAAAUUGAAAUAAGUCGUAACAAAGUAGAGGUACUGGAAAGUGUUUCUAGAAAGAA